CUGACCGAUAGUGAACCAGUACCGUGAGGGAAAGGCGAAAAGAACCCCGGCGAGGGGAGUGAAAAAGAACCUGAAACCGUGUACGUACAAGCAGUGGGAGCCCCACCACUAAGCCAGUGGUGAACUCCACAUCCGCAUCCUUUGCUGAGGAUACGGUUAACGGAGCGAAAGCGACGUUCAACCGCAAAACAAGCAGAGGGGGCUUAGUGGUGGGGUGACUGCGUACCUUUUGUAUAAUGGGUCAGCGACUUAUAUUCUGUAGCAAGGUUAACCGAAUAGGGGAGCCGGAGGGAAACCGAGUCUUAAUUGGGCGUUAAGUUGCAGGGUAUAGACCCGAAACCCGGUGAUCUAGCCAUGGGCAGGUUGAAGGUUGGGUAACACUAACUGGAGGACCGAACCGACUAAUGUUGAAAAAUUAGCGGAUGACCUGUGGCUGGGGGUGAAAGGCCAAUCAAACCGGGAGAUAGCUGGUUCUCCCCGAAAGCUAUUUAGGUAGCGCCUCGUGAAUUCAUCUCCGGGGGUAGAGCACUGUUUCGGCUAGGGGGCCAUCCCGGCUUACCAACCCGAUGCAAACUGCGAAUACCGGAGAAUGUUAUCACGGGAGACACACGGCGGGUGCUAACGUCCGUCGUGAAGAGGGAAACAACCCAGACCGCCAGCUAAGGUCCCAAAGUCAUGGUUAAGUGGGAAACGAUGUGGGAAGGCCCAGACAGCCAGGAUGUUGGCUUAGAAGCAGCCAUCAUUUAAAGAAAGCGUAAUAGCUCACUGGUCGAGUCGGCCUGCGCGGAAGAUGUAACGGGGCUAAACCAUGCACCGAAGCUGCGGCAGCGAACGUAUCACCCAAGACAACUUUACGGAGUUGACGAUUGACGGAGCGAAGCGACGUCAAAGCGUUCAUUAAAGUCGAGUUGGCUUAGGGAUACGUUCGUUGGGUAGGGGAGCGUUCUGUAAGCCUGUGAAGGUGUGUCGUGAGGCAUGCUGGAGGUAUCAGAAGUGCGAAUGCUGACAUAAGUAACGAUAAAGCGGGUGAAAAGCCCGCUCGCCGGAAGACCAAGGGUUCCUGUCCAACGUUAAUCGGGGCAGGGUGAGUCGACCCCUAAGGCGAGGCCGAAAGGCGUAGUCGAUGGGAAACGGGUUAAUAUUCCCGUACUUGGUGUUACUGCGAAGGGGGGACGGAGAAGGCUAUGUUGGCCGGGCGACGGUUGUCCCGGUUUAAGCGUGUAGGUGUGUGUUCCAGGUAAAUCCGGUU
rnacentral:rRNA from 1 species